UAGAGAAAAUGAGGUUUCCACGGAGAAAAUGUAGGCCGGGAAACUUGGUAUAUAAGCGGCAGUCUUGGUCCGAUAUAUUCAUUCACUCGCCGAUUCCCCAACAAUAAACAACAACAUGGCUUCUAUCAAGAUGAUCGCUCUGUGGGCUUUCUUGGUUGUUCUGGUGGCAGCAGUCAGUGCCGCUCCCACAUACUUUAUCUUGGAUGAUGGCGAAGUUGAGGCCCCUCAAUUGGUGCGCGUUCGCCGUGAUGACAAGUACGUCGCCGCCGCAAGUGGUGGUGGAAGCUACGGAAAGGGACACGUUGGACCCGUUUACACCUUCGUCAAGACCGACCCCAAGGCUAACUUCAAGUGGGGAGUCCGUCACCGCGCUGGAUCUCAGUACGCCGGUUAAGCGGAAUGCUUCUUGCCGAUUCCUUUAACCCAGAAAACCCUCAAGCUGGCUCUUGAGAAACUGACGGACCCACAUCUCACGCUCCCACAUUCAUUUCAUCUGUUUUCAUCCGUUUCUGAAUCAUCGUCUGAAUCGUGAAACAUCAUCGUUGUUCCAUUUCUUUUCAAUAUGCCUGUCGUUAACUUACCCUGGUUAUCGAUAGACAUCUUUUGCGAUCGGAAUACAUUUCUAAAUUUAUCUCCAUAA